rnacentral:misc_RNA from 1 species
CCGAGUUUACAACUCCCAAACCCCUGUGAACAUACCUAUACGUUGCCUCGGCGGAUCAGCCCGCGCCCCGUAAAAAGGGACGGCCCGCCCGAGGACCCCUAAACUCUGUUUUUAGUGGAACUUUUGAGUAAAACAAACAAAUAAAUCA